UACGGGGGGGGCAAGCGUUGUUCGGAAUUACUGGGCGUAAAGGGCUCGUAGGCGGCCAACUAAGUCGGACGUGAAAGCCCUCGGCUUAACCGAGGAACUGCGUCCGAUACUGGAUGGCUUGAGGUUGGGAGAGGGAUGCGGAAUUCCAGGUGUAGCAGUGAAAUGCGUAGAUAUCUGGAGGAACACCGGUGGCGAAGGCGGCAUCCUGGACCAAUUCUGACGCUGAGUGAGCGAAAGCCAGGGGAGCAAAGCGGG
rnacentral:rRNA from 1 species